GACGAACGCUGGCGGCGUGCUUAACACAUGCAAGUCGAACGGAAAGGCCCUGCUUUUGUGGGGUGCUCGAGUGGCGAACGGGUGAGUAACACGUGAGUAACCUGCUCUUGACUUUGGGAUAACUUCAGGAAACUGGGGCUAAUACCGGAUAGGAGCUCUUGCUGCAUGGUGGGGGUUGGAAAGUUUCGGCGGUUGGGGAUGGACUCGCGGCUUAUCAGCUUGUUGGUGGGGUAGUGGCUUACCAAGGCUUUGACGGGUAGCCGGCCUGAGAGGGUGACCGGCCACAUUGGGACUGAGAGACGGCCCAGACUCCUACGGGAGGCAGCAGUGGGGAAUAUUGCACAAUGGGCGGAAGCCUGAUGCAGCAACGCCGCGUGCGGGAUGACGGCCUUCGGGUUGUAAACCGCUUUCGCCUGUGACGAAGCGUGAGUGACGGUAAUGGAUAAAGAAGCACCGGCUAACUACGUG
rnacentral:rRNA from 1 species